GAAAUCAAGGAAAGGAAGAUCUUGAUAGCCCAGAAGACGAAGAACUUGGAGAUAUAUUAACGCAUGGAAACCCAUCCGAAUUUAACACGCCAGAAGAAAGUCAAUCGAUUCAUAUUGAUUACGAUGAACUUGCUAGGGCAAUGCAAAGAAUUUGAUGAUUUCGAUUACUACUAGUUUACUACUUGUUACAAAAGAUGUAAAGUUUUUACUACUUAAG
rnacentral:lncRNA from 1 species